rnacentral:rRNA from 1 species
UACGUAGGGACCAAGCGUUGUUCGGAUUUACUGGGCGUAAAGGGCUCGUAGGCGGCCAACUAAGUCGGAUGUGAAAUCCCCAGGCUUAACCUGGGAACUGCAUCCGAUACUGGAUGGCUUGAAUCCGGGAGAGGGAUGCAGAAUUCCAGGUGUAGCGGUGAAAUGCGUAGAUAUCUGGAGGAAUACCGGUGGCGAAGGCGGCAUCCUGGACCGGCAUUGACGCUGAUGAGCGAAAGCUAGGGGAGCAAACGGG